UGGGUGAGUAACGCGUGGGUAACCUGCCCUUAAGUCUGGGAUACCAUUUGGAAACAGAUGCUAAUACCGGAUAAAAGCUACUUUCGCAUGAAAGAAGUUUAAAAGGCGGCGUAAGCUGUCGCUAAAGGAUGGACCUGCGAUGCAUUAGCUAGUUGGUAAGGUAACGGCCUACCAAGGCGAUGAUGCAUAGCCGAGUUGAGAGACUGAUCGGCCACAUUGGGACUGAGACACGGCCCAAACUCCUACGGGAGGCAGCAGGU
rnacentral:rRNA from 1 species